AUUGAACGCUGGCGGCAGGCCUAACACAUGCAAGUCGAGCGGCAGCGCGGGGGCAACCCUGGCGGCGAGCGGCGAACGGGUGAGUAAUACAUGGGAAUCUGCCUGGUAGUGGGGGAUAACUCUGGGAAACUAGAGGUAAUACCGCAUACGUCCUACGGGAGAAAGGGGGGGAUCUUCGGACCUCUCGCUAUCAGAGGAGCCCAUGUCCGAUUAGCUAGUUGGUGAGGUAAAGGCUCACCAAGGCGACGAUCGGUAACUGGUCUGAGAGGAUGGUCAGUCACACUGGAACUGAGACACGGUCCAGACUCCUACGGGAGGCAGCAGUGGGGAAUAUUGGACAAUGGGGGCAACCCUGAUCCAGCCAUGCCGCGUGUGUGAAGAAGGCCUCGGUUGUAAGCACUUAAGUGGGGUAGGGAAGGCGUCGUACGUG
rnacentral:rRNA from 1 species